CUUGGAAAGCUGUGCAUCUGCAAAAUGCUUGAACAACAAAUCUGAGCUCUCAAUGUGACAAGAGAGGCAUGAGAAGAUGACCAGAGUGGUAACUCAACAAGAGACAGACACCUCUGCUUUGCCAUCUGCACCACUUCACCACCAGUCCCCAGAUGAGUGUCACACACAGCUUCCAGAGCUACUAUGCUCUGGCAUCAGCCACCUGGAGUUGAUCCCUCCUCAGUCCUGUGAGCUACUGCCACGACUCUGAUCAGCCACUUUGCCUGCACGCUGGGUACAGAAGAGCAGCCUUCCAGCCAGGAACACGAUGAGGACUUUGUACUUUGGACUCUUUAUCUCCCUCUGGUAUGAAAUACAAAUCUUUAACACGAAGCAAGGUCCACCUCACUGAUUAAGGCUCUCAGAGAAGAGUAAAACACAGGUCCAUUACAAAUUCUUUUCAGUUGUGAAGUAGGAAAGGCAGGCUUUCUCUACUAUCUUGGCAUCAUCUUGUAUCUGUUUACUGAUGAAAAAUAAAAAGGGCCUUUCCUAA